rnacentral:lncRNA from 1 species
GUGUCCUCGUAUCUAGGAAGUGAGUGGUUUCCUCGGAAAAACUAUAACGUUGCAGUCUGGUUGAAAUCAGAAUAAAUUCGAUUUCGUUUGUCUGUCCUCACACUCAAGUGAUUACUGAGUUUUUCACACUCAGAAUAGAAAUGUUCUGUUCAAAAUAGAAAUAAUUAGUUUGUGGCGUCAAUCUGAUGAAUCGUCGGAGAAAGUAUUGGUGUAAACAUUUAAGCAGAGUUUCGUUAUAGGUACAUGGUGUCCUCCCCAAAUUGCAGAGUUGUUCGCCCUUUGAUCGUAUGCGAUCACUGGGUGUGUAUAUGUAGGAAUGAUCAUGUCAUGUGCCUUUGACCCAGCUUCUGCAAUUGCGAUCUCAUUUUUAUAAUAUUUUGUUAGGUGACAGGACCACUUGAAAGCAUUUUAUGUGUUCCUGCCACUUUAGAUUUUAUCAUGUGUAACUUACUGGCUUUCUAGCAUUUGUUCAACAUGGGCACUUUUACUCAUUUUUAAGUACACGUACUUUUUCCUUAACAUUUAAAUAAAAUAUUUUUAUAACUUU